rnacentral:rRNA from 1 species
CUACGGGGUGCUGCAGGCGCGAAAAUUCUGCAAUGCACGAAAGUGUGACAGAGGGACUUCGAGUGCCAUCUUUGAUGGCUUUUGCCAACUGUAGAUAGGUUGGCGAAUAAGGACUGGGUAAGAUACGUGCCAGCCGCCGCGGUAAUACGUACAGUCCAAGUGGUAUUCCCUUAUAUUGGGCCUAAAGCGUUCGUAGCCGGUUUGGUAAGUCUUUGGUGAAAUCGGCUCUCUUAAGGAGUCGAAUGGCCAGGGAUACUGCCAGGCUCGAGACCGGGAGACGUGAAGGGAAUUUUCGGAGUAACGGUGAAAUGUUGUGAUCCCGAAAAGACCACCAGUAGCGAAGGCGCUUCACGAGAACGGCUCUGAUGGUGAGGAACGAAAGCUGGGGGAGCGACCCGGAUUAGAUACCCUUGUAGUC